rnacentral:rRNA from 1 species
AGAGUUUGAUCCUGGCUCAGAGUGAACGCUGGCGGCAGGCCUAACACAUGCAAGUCGAGCGGCAGCGCGGGGGCAACCCUGGCGGCGAGCGGCGGACGGGUGAGGAAUUCGUCGGAAUCUGCCUUUUUGUGGGGGAUAACGUAGGGAAACUUACGCUAAUACCGCAUACGACCUACGGGUGAAAGUGGGGGACCUUCGGGCCUCACGCAGAAAGAUGAGCCGACGACCGAUUAGCUAGUUGGUGGGGUAAAGGCCCACCAAGGCGACGAUCGGUAGCUGGUCUGAGAGGAUGAUCAGCCACACUGGGACUGAGACACGGCCCAGACUCCUACGGGAGGCAGCAGUGGGGAAUAUUGGACAAUGGGCGCAAGCCUGAUCCAGCCAUGCCGCGUGUGUGAAGAAGGCCUUCGGGUUGUAAAGCACUUUUGUUCGGGAAGAAAUCUUGCAGUUUAAUACGCUGCGAGGCUGACGGUACCGGAAGAAUAAGCACCGGCUAACUUCGUGCCAGCCGCCGCGGUAAUUC